GAUGAACGCUGGCGGCGUGCUUAACACAUGCAAGUCGAACGGAAAGGCUCCUGCUUGCAGGGGUACUCGAGUGGCGAACGGGUGAGUAACACGUGGGUGAUCUGCCCUGCACUUCGGGAUAAGCCUGGGAAACUGGGUCUAAUACCGGAUAGGACGAUGGUUUGGAUGCCAUUGUGGAAAGGUUUUCGGUGUGGGAUGAGCUCGCGGCCUAUCAGCUUGUUGGUGGGGUAAUGGCCUACCAAGGCGUCGACGGGUAGCCGGCCUGAGAGGGUGUACGGCCACAUUGGGACUGAGAUACGGCCCAGACUCCUACGGGAGGCAGCAGUGGGGAAUAUUGCACAAUGGGCGCAAGCCUGAUGCAGCGACGCCGCGUGGGGGAUGACGGCCUUCGGGUUGUAAACUCCUUUCGCUAGGGACGAAGCGCAAGUGACGGUACCGGGAGAAGAAGCACCGGCUAACUACGU
rnacentral:rRNA from 1 species